ACGGCGAGUGAAGCGGCAACAGCUCAAAUUUGAAAUCUGGCCCUCGGGUCCGAAUUGUAAUUUGUAGAGGAUGAUUUUGGUGCGGUAUCUUCCGAGUUCCUUGGAACAGGACGCCUUAGAGGGUGAGAGCCCCGUACGGUUGAAUGCCUAGCCUCUGUAAAUCUCCUUCGACGAGUCGAGUAGUUUGGGAAUGCUGCUCUAAAUGGGAGGUAAAUUUCUUCUAAAGCUAAAUAUUGGCCAGAGACCGAUAGCGCACAAGUAGAGUGAUCGAAAGAUGAAAAGCACUUUGAAAAGAGGGUUAAAUAGCACGUGAAAUUGUUGAAAGGGAAGGAUUUGUGACCAGACUUUUUCUGGGCGGAUCAUCCGGGGUUCUCUCCGGUGCACUUUGCCCAGUAAAGGCCAGCAUCGAUUUUCGGCGGCGGAUAAAAGCAGUGGGAAUGUGGCUCCCUACGGGGAGUGUUAUAGCCCAUUGUAUAAUACGCUGCUGGGGAUCGAGGUACGCGCUUCUGCAAGGAUGCUGGCGUAAUGGUUAUCAAUCACCCGUCUU
rnacentral:rRNA from 1 species